AACGAACGCUGGCGGCAUGCCUAACACAUGCAAGUCGAACGAGACCUUCGGGUCUAGUGGCUCACGGGUGCGUAACGCGUGGGAACCUGCCCUUAGGUUCGGAAUAACUCCCCGAAAGGGGUGCUAAUACCGGAUAAUGUCUUCGGACCAAAGAUUUAUCGCCUUUGGAUGGGCCCGCGUUGGAUUAGCUAGUUGGAAGGGUAAAAGCCUACCAAGGCGACGAUCCAUAGCUGGUCUGAGAGGAUGAUCAGCCACACUGGGACUGAGACACGGCCCAGACUCCUACGGGAGGCAGCAGUGGGGAAUAUUGGACAAUGGGCGAAAGCCUGAUCCAGCAAUGCCGCGUGAGUGAUGAAGGCCUUAGGGUUGUAAAGCUCUUUUACCCGGGAUGAUAAUGACAGUACCGGGAGAAUAAGCUCCGGCUAACUCCGUG
rnacentral:rRNA from 1 species